rnacentral:lncRNA from 1 species
CUUGAAGGCUCUCUGGAACAAGAAAAGAAAAUCCGGAUGGAUCUUGAAAGAGCCAAGAGGAAACUCGAGGGGGACCUAAAACUGGCCCAAGAGUCCACAAUGGACGUAGAAAAUGACAAACAGCAGCUCGAUGAGAAACUCAAAAAGAAAGAGUUUGAAAUGAGCAACCUGCAGAGCAAGAUCGAGGAUGAACAGGCCCUCGGCAUGCAGCUGCAGAAGAAGAUCAAGGAGUUGCAGGCUCGCAUUGAGGAGCUGGAGGAGGAAAUCGAGGCAGAGCGGGCCUCCAGGGCCAAAGCAGAGAAGCAGCGCUCUGACCUCUCCCGGGAACUGGAGGAGAUCAGCGAGCGGCUGGAAGAAGCCGGCGGGGCCACUUCAGCCCAGAUCGAGAUGAACAAGAAGAGAGAGGCCGAGUUCCAGAAAAUGCGCAGGGACCUGGAGGAGGCCACCCUGCAGCACGAAGCCACAGCAGCCACCCUGAGGAAGAAGCACGCGGACAGCGUGGCUGAGCUCGGGGAGCAGAUCGACAACCUGCAGCGGGUGAAGCAGAAGCUGGAGAAGGAGAAGAGCGAGAUGAAGAUGGAGAUCGACGACCUCGCUAGCAACAUGGAGGUCAUUUCCAAAUCCAAGGGAAACCUUGAGAAGAUGUGCCGCACUCUGGAGGACCAGGUGAGCGAGCUGAAGACCAAGGAGGAGGAGCAGCAGCGGCUCAUCAACGAGCUGACCGCGCAGAGGGGGCGUCUGCAGACAGAGUCAGGUGAAUAUUCACGCCAGCUGGAUGAAAAGGAUUCAUUAGUUUCUCAGCUCUCCAGGGGCAAACAGGCAUUCACUCAACAGAUUGAGGAGCUGAAGAGGCAGCUUGAAGAGGAAGUAAAGGCCAAGAGUGCCCUGGCUCAUGCUCUUCAGUCCUCCCGCCAUGACUGUGACCUUCUGCGGGAACAGUAUGAAGAAGAACAGGAAGCCAAGGCUGAACUGCAGAGGGCCAUGUCCAAGGCCAACAGUGAAGUGGCCCAGUGGAGGACGAAAUAUGAGACGGAUGCCAUCCAGCGCACGGAAGAACUGGAGGAGGCCAAGAAGAAGCUGGCUCAGCGUCUGCAGGAUGCUGAGGAGCACGUAGAAGCCGUGAACGCCAAGUGUGCUUCCCUGGAGAAGACGAAGCAGAGGCUGCAGAAUGAGGUGGAGGACCUCAUGAUUGAUGUGGAGAGGACCAACGCUGCCUGUGCCGCCCUGGACAAGAAGCAGAGAAACUUCGACAAGAUCCUGGCAGAAUGGAAACAGAAGUAUGAGGAAACGCAUGCUGAACUUGAAGCCUCCCAGAAGGAGUCCCGCUCUCUCAGCACAGAGUUGUUCAAGAUUAAGAAUGCUUAUGAGGAAUCUUUAGACCAACUUGAAACCUUGAAAAGGGAAAAUAAGAAUUUGCAACAGGAGAUCUCUGACCUCACUGAACAGAUUGCAGAAGGAGGGAAACGUAUCCAUGAACUGGAAAAAAUAAAGAAGCAAAUUGAGCAAGAAAAAUCCGAGCUCCAGGCUGCUUUAGAGGAAGCAGAGGCAUCUCUGGAGCACGAGGAGGGAAAGAUCCUGCGCAUCCAGCUGGAGCUGAACCAAGUCAAGUCUGAGAUCGACAGGAAGAUUGCUGAGAAGGAUGAGGAAAUUGACCAGCUGAAGAGAAACCACAUUCGAGUCGUGGAGUCCAUGCAGAGCACGCUGGAUGCCGAGAUCAGGAGCAGGAAUGACGCCAUCAGGAUCAAGAAGAAGAUGGAGGGAGACCUCAAUGAGAUGGAAAUCCAGCUGAACCACUCCAACCGCAUGGCUGCUGAGGCCCUGAGAAACUACAGGAACACCCAAGGCAUCCUCAAGGACACCCAGUUGCACCUGGAUGACGCUCUCCGGGGCCAGGAGGACCUGAAGGAGCAGCUGGCCAUGGUGGAGCGCAGAGCCAACCUGCUGCAGGCUGAGAUCGAGGAGCUGCGGGCCACUCUGGAGCAGACUGAGAGGAGCAGGAAGAUUGCAGAGCAGGAACUGCUGGACGCCAGUGAGCGCGUGCAGCUCCUCCACACCCAGAACACCAGCCUCAUCAACACCAAGAAGAAGCUGGAGACAGACAUUUCCCAGAUCCAGGGAGAGAUGGAGGACAUCGUCCAGGAAGCCCGCAAUGCAGAAGAGAAGGCCAAGAAAGCCAUCACUGACGCCGCCAUGAUGGCGGAGGAGCUGAAGAAGGAGCAGGACACCAGCGCCCAUCUGGAGCGGAUGAAGAAGAACCUGGAGCAGACGGUGAAGGACCUGCAGCACCGUCUGGACGAGGCUGAGCAGCUGGCGCUGAAGGGCGGCAAGAAGCAGAUCCAGAAACUGGAGGCCAGGGUCCGUGAACUUGAAGGAGAAGUUGAAAACGAACAGAAGCGCAAUGUUGAAGCUAUCAAGGGUCUGCGCAAACAUGAGAGAAGAGUGAAAGAACUCACUUACCAAACUGAGGAAGACCGCAAGAACGUUCUCAGGCUCCAGGACCUUGUGGACAAACUGCAAUCAAAGGUCAAAGCAUACAAGAGACAAGCCGAGGAAGCGGAGGAACAAUCCAACGUCAACCUGGCCAAGUUCCGCAAGAUCCAGCACGAGCUGGAGGAAGCCGAGGAGCGGGCUGACAUCGCCGAGUCCCAGGUCAACAAGCUGCGGGUGAAGAGCCGCGAGGUUCACACCAAAAUCAUAAGCGAAGAGUGAUCGAUCCAAAGCAGGAAAGUGACCAAAGAGAUGAGCAAAAUGUGAAGAUCUUUGUCACUCCAUUUUGUACUUACGACUUUGGGAGAUAAAAAAUUUAUCUGCCAAGAGCUU